rnacentral:rRNA from 1 species
GCCAGACUCCUACGGGAGGCAGCAGUGGGGAAUAUUGCACAAUGGGGGAAACCCUGAUGCAGCGACGCCGCGUGAGCGAUGAAGUAUUUCGGUAUGUAAAGCUCUAUCAGCAGGGAAGAAAAUGACGGUACCUGACUAAGAAGCCCCGGCUAACUACGUGCCAGCAGCCGCGGUAAUACGUAGGGGGCAAGCGUUAUCCGGAUUUACUGGGUGUAAAGGGAGCGUAGACGGCAUGGCAAGCCAGAUGUGAAAUACCGGGGCUCAACCCCGGGACUGCAUUUGGAACUGCGUGGCUUGAGUGUCGGAGAGGCAGGCGGAAUUCCUAGUGUAGCGGUGAAAUGCGUAGAUAUUAGGAGGAGCACCAGUGGCGAAGGCGGCCUGCUGGACGAUGACUGACGUUGAGGCUCGAAAGCGUGGGGAGCAAACAGGAUUAGAUACCCUGGUAA